rnacentral:rRNA from 1 species
UACGGGGGGGGCAAGCGUUGUUCGGAAUUACUGGGCGUAAAGCGUGCGUAGGUGGUUUUUUAAGUCCGUUGUGAAAGCCCUGGGCUCAACCUGGGAAUGGCAGUGGAUACUGGAAAGCUAGAGUGCGGUAGAGGGUAGUGGAAUUCCCGGUGUAGCAGUGAAAUGCGUAGAUAUCGUGAGGAACACCAGAGGCGAAGGCGGCUACCUGGACAAUCGCUGACGCUCAGGCACGAAAGCGUGGGGAGCAAAAGGG